GUGUGUGCGCGUUCUGCAGAUAAAAUGAUUUGAGAGGUAAACUUUCUUGGUUGAGUGAUUACCAUAGUUCCUCUUUGUUUUUCUCUUCCUUUGUGGCUGCAAUCACGACCACCAUUAUCCUUUAUGGAAGCUUGUGGAAACUCGAGUGUGGUUUUGUUGUGGGUUGAGUCGAGAUCGAUUGGUGUUCUUUUGGUGAGUAAACUGAACCCUAAUUGAAGAUUUAUCAAAAAGCUUCCACAACAGUGUGCACACAGCGAAGAGAGAUAGAGAGAAGAAGAUGGGGUAAAGGAAGAAGACAUUGGAUGACCACGCAUUUUCUCUCUUUGCACAUCUGAUUUAUUUUGUUAAGAGCCUAAUGUGUCCACCGUUUUUAUGACUUUAUCUUAGUACUCUUGUUUGUUU
rnacentral:lncRNA from 1 species